rnacentral:rRNA from 1 species
AGUGAACGCUGGCGGUAGGCCUAACACAUGCAAGUCGAACGGCAGCACAGGAGAGCUUGCUCUCUGGGUGGCGAGUGGCGGACGGGUGAGGAAUACAUCGGAAUCUACUCUGUCGUGGGGGAUAACGUAGGGAAACUUACGCUAAUACCGCAUACGACCUACGGGUGAAAGCAGGGGACCUUCGAGCCUUGCGCGAAUGAAUGAGCCGAUGUCGGAUUAGCUAGUUGGUGGGGUAAAGGCCCACCAAGGCGACGAUCCGUAGCUGGUCUGAGAGGAUGAUCAGCCACACUGGAACUGAGACACGGUCCAGACUCCUACGGGGGGCAGCAGUGGGGAAUAUUGGACAAUGGGCGCAAGCCUGAUCCAGCCAUACCGCGUGGGUGAAGAAGGCCUUCGGGUUGUAAAGCCCUUUUGUUGGGAAAGAAAUCCAGCUGGCUAAUACCCGGUUGGGAUGACGGUACCCAAAGAAUAAGCACCGGCUAACUUCGUGCCAGCCGCCGCCGUAA